UGAGAAUCGCUUGAACCCGAGAGUAAGAAGUUGCAGUCAGCUGAGAUCAUGCCACUGCACUCCAGCCUGGGGGACAUAGCAAAACACCAUAAAAACAAAACAAAACAAAACAAAACAAAAACCUGCUAUUGGAUUUAGGGUCCACCCCGAUAAUCCAGGAUGAGUUCUUCUGAGUUCUUCACCUAGAGAUCCUUCACUCCGUUCUUUACUCUGCUGUAGACUGAAUGUGUAUAUCCCCCUAAAAUUCAUUAUUUGAAAUCCUAACCCCAAAUGUGAUGGUAUUAGGAGGUGGGGCCCUUGGGGGGCGAUUAGUUCAUGAGGACAGAGCCCUUGAGAACGGGAUUAGUGCUUUUAUAAAAGAGGUCUGAGGGAGCUUGGUUGCUCCCUCCACCAUAUGAAGACAAAACAACAAGUCGGCGUCUGUGAACCUGGAAAGUGGCCCUCACCAGACACCAAACCUGCCAGCAACUUCUUCUUGCAUUUCCCAGCCUCCAGAUCUGUAAAAAAUAAUUUUCCAUUGUUUAUAAAUUGCCCAGUUUGUGGUAUUUUGUUAUAAUAGCACAAACGGAGUAAGACAUCCAUGGAUGUGACCCUUUUUCCAAAUAAGGUCACAUUCAGCGGUUCUAGGGGUUAGGAGGUGGAAAUAUAUUUUGGGGGCCAUCGUUCAGCCCACGACAAGCAAUGAUGCAUCUGAAAGGCCUGGUGUGGGAGAAGGGGUCACUACUUACUUGUGCUUCUUUUUGUGCAAUGCACUAUCAUUUCUGGCCUGUGGAUCUAUAGUCAUCAAGCCUGGGAGCGUGUGGCUGGCUACAUCACCUCUCAUGUCUCUGCUGAAGGGCCUUCAUGUUUCAGAGGAGUCUUUCAUCAUGUUGGGGAUCAACUCAAAGCUGUUGUCUGGACAGAGGUGGGUGGAAAGACAGCAGAGGCCCAGCAGGUGUGAAAUGACCUAUGGGCAGGUGGAUUUGCCCACAUCUCCUCGGAGCAUGGGGUCAGUCUGGGAACACAGAUGCCUGCAUGUAGAGUGCUGUGUCAGGAUCUAUGGCCUCCCCUCAGGGUGUUGAAUGUCUUUGACACCUGCUAGGGCAGGAGGAAGCACUACAGUCAUCAAAGAGAAAGUGGAGGCUCAGCAGAUGCUGAAUGAGUAUGAUGCCUGCGGAGUCUGUUAUUCCCAGGUUUCCUAAGCCGUGUGCUGCUGAGGCCUGAAGGGAGGCAGGGAUAUAAAGAAUGGACAUGAACUGGUCCCCAGAUGGAACUCUCUGCUCUGUCUGUCUCUGGGCUUCCUCGUUUAAUCAGGAGACAGUUGGGAGAAUGCAAGACUUCUGUGAGCCUAUGAAAACAUAGGCCUCAGUAAUGGGGCAGCUAGGGAGUUCCAGGUCCCAGUCUCCUGGUCAGCACCUGUAAGGAUCCAUGCUUUCCUCCUGGUCUUGUGGAUUGACUUCCUAUCAGGAUUUCUGAGCCUAGAGUCUCUCCUGAGGAAUUUCCAAAGCCUACAACUCAACGGCAUAUCAUUAGCUGAUCUUAACCUGCUACUACUAUGUUGGGCUCAAGUGACUGCUUUCCUUUUACAAUCAUUGUCUUCUUUGACAGAUGAGAAAAUUGAGGCACAGAGAGCUCAAGAAGCUUGCUCCCAAUCACAGAGCUGAUAAGUAGCAGAUCCAAGAUGCAAAUCCAGGUGAUCUGCCCCCAAGGCUCACACUCCCAGCUACUGCACACAGAACCUCAGAAGCCCAUGCUUCUGGCACAGCUGUGCUGCAAUGAGUUUGUAUGCUGGCUAUAAUGAAUGAUGCUGCUAAGAAUAAACAAACAAAUCUUUACAUGGACAUAUGUAUUUAUUUCUCUUGGGUAACUACCUGGGAGUGGAAUUGCUAAUGUCUUAUGGUAAGUGUGCAUUUAACUUGGUGGGAUACUGCCAAUCUGUUUCCUAAAAUGGCAGUGCCAUUUCCCAACCUGUCAGCAAUGUAGGAGAAUUUUGGUUGCUCCAAAUUGUUGACAUCACUUGAUAUUGUCAGUCUUUGUAAUUUUAGUCACUCUGUGGUUUAAUUUACAUUUUGCUAACGACCAAAAAUGACAAGCGUCUUUUCAUGUAUGUAUUUGCUAUAUGCAUAUACUCUUUGGUGAAGUGUUUGUCCAAAUAUUUUGGCUAAUUUAAAAAACUGAGGUAUUGGGCAGGCCUGGUAGCUUAUGCCUGUAAUUCUAGCACUUUUGGAGGCCGAGGCAGGCAGAUCAUGAGGUCAGGAGCUUGAGACCAGCCUGACCAGCAUGGUGAAACCCUGUCUCUACUAAAAAUACAAAAAAUUAGCCAGGUGUGGUGGCAGGUACCUGUAAUCCCAGUUACUCGGGAGACUGAGGCAGGAGAAUCACUUGAAUCCAGGAGGUGGAGGUUGCAGUGAGCUGAGACUGCACCACUGCACUCCAGCCUGGGCAACAUAGCAAGUCUCCAUCUCAAAACAAAAACAAAAACAAAAAUAAACAACAAAAAAAAACCCUGAGGUUCUUCCUAAUUAUUGAAUUAAAAAUGUGUGUGUUACAUUCUGAAUAGAAAUACUUUACUGAAUAUAUGUUACUCAAAUAUUUUAUCUCAUAUAAUAUUGUGGUUUGCCUUUUCAUUUUCUUAAUGGUGUCUGCUAUAGUCUAAAUGUGUUCCCCAAAAACCAUGUGUUGGGAACUUAAUCCCCAAUGCAGUAGUAUUGGGAGAUGGGGACUUUUGGCAGGUGUUUUGGUCAUGAGGGCUUGGCCUUCAGGAACAGAUCAAUGCCACUAUAAGAAAGGCCUUCAGGAGGGGAUUGGUUCUCACUUGCUCUUUUGCCUUCUGCCACAUGAGGAUGCAGCAAGAAGGCCCUCACUAGACACCACACCUGGAUCUUAGGCUUCCCAGCCUCCAGAAUGUGAGAAAUAAAUUUCUGUUUUUUAUAAUUUAUCCAUUGAAUUAGGCUGUUCUUGCAUUGCUAUAAAGAAAUAACUGAGACUGGCUAAUUUAUAAAGAAAAGAGAUUUAAUUGGCUCAUGGUUCUGCAGGCUGUACAGGAAGCAUGGUGUGCUCAGCUUCUGGGGAGGCCUCAGGAAGCUCACAAUCAUGGUGGGAAGCAUAGGAAGAGCAGGCAUGUCACAUGGCCACAGCAGGAGCAAGAGAAAGAUGGGAGAGGUGCCACACUUUUAAACAACGAGAUCUUGUGAGGACACACUUACUAUUGCAAGGACAGCACUAAGAGCAUGAUGCUAACCUAUUCAUGGGAAAUCUGCCCCAUGAUCCAUCACCUCCCACAAGGCCCCACUGCCAACACUGGGGAUUACAGUUUGACAUGAGAUUUGGGUGAGGACCCAGAUCCAAACCCUGUCACCUGUUCUCAGGUAUUCUGUUAUGGUAACACAAAUCAGAAGAAGAUAGUGGCUUUUGGAGCACGAAAGUUUUAAAUUAUGGUGAUGUUUAAUGUAGUUUGUGCUUCCUAUGCCUUAUUUUUAAAAUCCUUGCUUUUCCUGAGGUUGCAAAGUUUUUCUCUAUGUUUUCUUCUACAAGUUUUAUAGUUGUGGCUAUUAUUGUUAAACCUAUUAUCCUUUUUGAGUUAGUUUUUUAAAUGGUAUUGGUUUAGGUCCAGGUUUAUUUAUUUUUAGUAUAGAUGUCCAAGUGUUCUCUCACCAUUUGUUGAAAAAUGUAUCCACUUCCCAUAUGGAAUUACCUUGGCAUCUUGUUGAAAAUAAAUUUCACAUAUAUGCAUGUCCUGUUUCUGGACUUUUUCUUUGGUUCCAUUGUUCUAUAUGUUUAAAUGUAUGCGAAUGCUGUCCAGCUACUAUAAAUUUAUAGUCAGUCUUUU
rnacentral:lncRNA from 10 species